rfam:Chelonia mydas contig179133, whole genome shotgun sequence.
GACAUCUUAGCAGCACAUAUACUAAAUUUGGAAUGAUACAGAGAAGAUUAGCAUGGCCCCUGCACAAGGAUGACAUGCAAAUUCGUGAAAAGCCAGCUAUGCUG